UACGUAGGGGGCAAGCGUUGUCCGGAAUCAUUGGGCGUAAAGAGCGUGUAGGCGGCCAGAAAAGUCCGCUGUGAAAACUCGAGGCUCAACUUCGAGCUGUCGGUGGAAACUUUCUGGCUAGAGUCCGGAAGAGGAGAAUGGAAUUCCUGGUGUAGCGGUGAAAUGCGCAGAUAUCAGGAAGAACACCCGUGGCGAAGGCGGUUCUCUGGGACGGUACUGACGCUGAGAUGCGAAAGCGUGGGGAGCAAACAGG
rnacentral:rRNA from 1 species